rnacentral:rRNA from 1 species
UACGUAGGGGGCGAGCGUUGUCCGGAUUUAUUGGGCGUAAAGGGCGUGUAGGCGGCUCAUUGAGGGUGGGGUGAAAUCUCCCGGCUCAACUGGGAGGGGUCCUGGCCGACUGAUGGGCUGGAGGCCGGUAGGGGCGCGUGGAAUUCCCGGUGUAGUGGUGAAAUGCGUAGAGAUCGGGAGGAACACCGGUGGCGAAGGCGGCGCGCUGGGCCGAGCCUGACGCUGAGGCGCGAAAGCGUGGGGAGCAAACAGG